CCACCACAUAGCCGGCCGAAGCGAGGGAGCAUUCGCUGAUCCAAAAAGCAGCGAACCAAUCAGUCGUAGGCGAUUCGAGUGCUUGCUAACCCUAACCAACGCCAGCGGCGACGGCGGCGGCAGCGAGCCGAAACGUCUUGGAAGCGGGGCGGCGUGCCAUCGGUGUCGAUCUCCACUUGCAUGGAUUCGAAGCGCGGCAGCGUGGUUGUGGACGAGGGGCGCGACGUCCAUGGCGCUCAAGCUUUGGCGACCAUGCUGGUACCAAUUUUGGGUGUUUGAAUUUGUUAUACUGACCGAACUGUACUGUGCUGGUAGCCAUGGCGUAGUGAGUCAAGAAGCCUCAUGUUCCUCCGCAUUCCAGGAACAACCCAACUUACUCCGCAACGACGACCACCAUGCAUUUUUACCAACUGUCAAACCAUCUUAUCUCAUCCUAGAAAAACAUACUGUGUAGAGUAGGUGCUCGCUACAGUUGUCUAUCCGGGCCUCCGGCCACCAAAUUCGAACCAUAAACAUAUGUUUUGUCCAAUAGUAGGUGCAGAUGCUAGGGGCUAGGCGUCGAUACCUCCGGUCUCAUGGCACUCCAUGCAAAGCCAAGGCAGGUGACACUCCUUGCAAUUGUUUGUAUGCUUGCAUUGGAAUAAAUGGCCAUGUGAUUUCUGCUGCAUGGCGAUGCUAUUUUAACAAAGUAUUGUUCAGUUUGCAGUAACAAGUUGGUACCCUCUUAUCCUCUACAGGUACUACAUCGGUUAAGCAACAUAUCUUGUCUUUCCUAGACAUCAGCAUUAUUUUGCUAACAUAAUACAGAUCUUAAGUUAAAUCAAUUGAUAAUGUUCUUCUUCUGACCGAAGAAAAUCAUUUUUAGAUAGUUAGUGGCAGGGGCAGUUGGUCAGAUAUAAAGCCUUCUGGUAAACCAGGCGGAUUUAAUGGUCUAAGUAGCUACUGAUUUGCUAACGGGUCACUGCUUUGCAAGAUAAAACUGGCCCAUCUUCGUCCCCCACAUAGCUGACUUGUGCUGCAAAGACUGGAUUCCCUCAAAGGAAAAAAAAAAUUGAGACUGAUGGUGGCAGAAUGACGAAGAAGCUUGGUCAUCUCUCUUCUGUUACUAUUGCUGGCAUUAGGCCUCGAGCGUCAGGAUCAUGAGUAGGGUGUGGAGGCUGUCGGGCUGCAGUCCCAUGGAGUUCUAUGCCUCCAUAUAUAGGAAGUGGAUAUAGUUGAAGCGCCAUAUCCAAUUCAUCGACCUCGCCAUGAUGAGGGAGAAGGUGGUGACCAAUAGGAGAUAUUCGAGCUCAGGAGUAACAUGGCACAAAGGGAUGUUGGUUGAUAAGAUUCAUCCACAUACCAUGUCAAUAUUCUUGGACAAGUCUCCGAACCAUCUAAGCGGCGAUCUCGACCUCUCCUGGCCCGCCACCCCUCUGGUGCUGGACGAAGACAACGAGGUCCCUGCUCCCGUGGUGCCGCUGCCUUCUCCUCCGCCCGUCGCCACCCCUAUGGUGGCCUCCCCCGCCCGCCGCCGGAGCGCCCGCCUUGCCGGGAUCGAGCCUUCGGAGUACGUCUCCAUCAUCCAGAAGGCCACUCAGCGCAUGCGUGUCUUGAAGGAAGGAAAGAUUUUUGCUGGUGGAAAGGCGCUCCUCCCAGUUCAGCUCAUCGACUUGGCGCCCGAGGUCUCCUCGCCCCUCCCUCGGCAGGACGUGCUGGAGCUUGCCGCUGCCUGUGACGUGCCUGCCUCGGCUCUCCUUGAUGACACCGCAUGUGUCUAAUGUUGCGUCUUCAACUGUCAGCCCCGGAUCCCCUCGCGGUCCUUCUCUGCCAUCGCGCUUUGGCUUGUAUCAGUCUGUCGUCUGUAUCCCGUUUUAGUCCUACCUUUGCUCCGACCAUAGGUCUUAGCUCUUCUGAGCUUGGUCGCAGCCUCUUUCCUUUGCUACUUUCACGUCUAGUUGCAGCUGUGGGUCUCAACCCGGCUGUACUUGGCCUAGACUUGCUCCAUGUAUCUGUUUGUAGGUGGCCCUGUCCGGCCAUGUUUCGUUAUGUUUUCGUUGCCCUUUAUAGCUUCCAUGAAUCUUAAAACUCGUUUCAUCUCUUGGAAUGUUCGUGGUCUCGGUAGAAACAAAAAAUGUACUGACGUCAAAGCUGCUCUCUUCGGCCUCGACCCCUCUUUUAUUUGCUUGCAAGAAACAAAGCUUGAUGAUAUCUCUACUUUCAAAGCCAGCUCCUUCUUACCCACUAGGUUGAAAUCAUUCCAUUUCUUGCCUUCAAAUGGUUCUGCUGGAGGAAUACUAACAGCUUGGAACGAUCAAGACUACUCCUGCACUUCUGUCACUGCUCUUAAGUUCUCCUUAACCUUACACUUCUCGGCCAGAGCUAGCAACGAUGAUUUCUCUAUCUCUAACAUUUAUGGUCCUUGCGUCAGCCUUGAGAAGCAAGCGUUUGUUGACGAACUUCUUCUCUUAGGCUCCUUUGUAACCGGCCCCUGGGCUCUUUUAGGCGAUUUCAACUUUACUCUAAAGCCAAACGAGCGCUCGAAUGACAACUUUAACCAUUUCGAAGCCUUGCUCUUCUCGUCUAGCUUAAACCGUCUUAAUCUUCAGGAGCUUCCCCUUCUCGAUAGGCUAUUUACUUGGUCUAACCAACAAGACUCCCCGACUUUGGUGCGCUUGGAUAGGGCUUUUGUCAACACAGCUUGGAGUUUCCUCCUCCCGGACUCCACACUCACGUCCGCUUGCCGGUCAACUUCUGAUCAUGUGCUGCUUGUUCUCAUUGCUGCGUCCAAAGUUCCCACGCCUUCGAUCUUUCGGUUCAACAACGACCUUCUGCACUUACAACCUUUCAUGAACAUCAUUUUGCAAAAUUGGAAUAGUGUUGUCCCAUCUACCCACUUGGGCCACUUAUGUCUCAAACUUAAGAGAGUGCGCGCAGCUGCUAAGGCCUGGGCCAAGCAAGCUAGAUCUCCUCUUGUGAUCACUAAAAACUGCCACACGGUCAUCACCUUCCUAGACAAAAUAGAAGAAUUCCGCUCGCUCUCCUCCUUAGAAUGCUCUCUUCGCACGCAGGUUUCUCUGUCCCUUCACCGGCACAACGCCCUAGCUGCUGUUUACUGGCGGCAACGGGCUAAAAAUCAAGGACUGUGUGCUCGGUGA
rnacentral:rRNA from 1 species